UACGUAGGGCGCAAGCGUUGUCCGGAAUUAUUGGGCGUAAAGAGCUCGUAGGCGGCUUGUCACGUCGGGUGUGAAAACUCUGGGCUUAACCCGGAGAGGCCACUCGAUACUGCUGAACUUGAGUACGGUAGGGGAGUGGGGAAUUCCUGGUGUAGCGGUGAAAUGCGCAGAUAUCAGGAGGAACACCGGUGGCGAAGGCGCCACUCUGGGCCGAAACUGACGCUGAGGAGCGAAAGCUAGGGGAGCAAACGGG
rnacentral:rRNA from 1 species